ACAGUAAGGUCACCGUAGUUCCGUUUUAGCGACCUUCCAAUUCCCUUUCACUUCUGCAUUUAUACUUGAUUUGGUGUUCAGCAGCAUAAGUCUCUGACCACUAAAGAGAACGCACGUUCUACAGCUACAGCAGGUCAAUCCACCAAUCUGUGUCACGCACCAUGGGCAGAUGUCUCGAAGUUUGCAAGCUGUUUGGUCUUAUGGGUUGCAGUUUGUGUGACCUUCAUUGUCUUGGGUGCUGUGUACAUUGAUGACUGCCCAGUGAAACGUGUCAUCCCUAUCCACAUGAUCAUUUCUGGAUCUUUCGGUCUCCUCUAUGUAUUCUUCUCCUGCUGCAAGGACCGUGUUGUGUGCCAACAUUUGUCUAAACUAUUUUGGUUCAUGAUCAUCAUCUGGCUCAUUAUUGGCCAUUUUUGGACCUUCUCUGUAUUCCAACCCAACUACGAACGGAAAGAGAUCAUCGGCAACACAGUAUACUGCAACAAAUCUCUAUACCUCUUUGUGGCCUCUACCACCAUCAUAUUGGACAUUAUUAUAUGUGUGUGGCUGCUUGUGUUGUUUGAUGUAUGUAAAUGCUUCAUACUUUGUCUGGUCUGCUGUGUCUCUUUAUGCAAGUCUGACGAUGUCAAACCUGUGCAGGUUGUUGAGCCUUUGAGGGUUGUGGAGACUGAGGACUUUGUUGAACCUAAGGAGUGUGUGGGGACUGACGGAAGUGUGGGGACUGACCUGUGUGGGGACGGAAGUGUG